UGAGGAAUAUUGGUCAAUGGGCGAGAGCCUGAACCAGCCAAGUCGCGUGAAGGAUGAAGGUUCUAUGGAUUGUAAACUUCUUUUAUUCGAGGGUAAAGUGAGGUACGUGUACCUUAUUGCAAGUAUCGAAUGAAUAAGCAUCGGCUAACUCCGUGCCAGCAGCCGCGGUAAUACGGAGGAUGCGAGCGUUAUCCGGAUUUAUUGGGUUUAAAGGGUGCGUAGGCGGCAAGUCAAGUCGGCGGUCAAACUGCGGGGCUCAACCCCGUACCGCCGUCGAAACUGGCGUGCUUGAGUGGAGAAGAAGUAUGCGGAAUGCGAGGUGUAGCGGUGAAAUGCAUAGAUAUCGCGCAGAACUCCGAUUGCGAAGGCAGCGUACUAUCCUCCAACUGACGCUGAGGCACGAAAGCGUGGGUAUCGAACAGGAUUAGAUACCCUGGGUAGU
rnacentral:rRNA from 1 species